rnacentral:misc_RNA from 1 species
GUACUCUCACACUCUCUGAUCCUUUGGAUUCAGGGAGCGGUGGACUUGGGUGCUUGCUGCUUUCCUGGUGGCUCACCUCAAAUGCGUUAGUGCACCUCUUGGUUGGACAUAGUACGGCGUGAUAAGUAUCUUCGCCGGCACCUCGCAAGAGGGUGGCCGAUUGGGAGCUCUGUGCUUUCAAACCGUCUUCGGACAAUCUCUGACA